rnacentral:rRNA from 1 species
GUAUCCUACGGGGGGCAGCAGUGGGGGAUAUUGCACAAUGGAGGAAACUCUGAUGCAGCGACGCCGCGUGAGGGAAGACGGUCUUCGGAUUGUAAACCUCUGUCUUUGGGGAAGAAAAUGACGGUACCCAAAGAGGAAGCUCCGGCUAACUACGUGCCAGCAGCCGCGGUAAUACGUAGGGAGCGAGCGUUGUCCGGUAUUACUGGGUGUAGAGGGAUCGUAGGCGGGCGAGAAAGUUGAAUGUUAAAUCUACCGGCUUAACUGGUAGCUGCGUUCAACACUUUUUGUCUUGAGUGACGUAGAGG